UGCGGGUGCGCGGGGCGGGCUGCGCGUGUGGCGCUCGUGUCGGCCGGACGGCGAGAGGGACCGUGUGUGAGUGACCCUGAGAGGCAAGGCGGGGGGACACCGCGUGUGCGAGUGCACGGGGAACACCGGCUGCGUGUCUGUGUGUGACAGACACUGUUCCGAGGGACGCUCGGUGUGAUGAUGCCUGUGUGCUCGACACCCCUCUGUGUGUGUGUGACAGACGCUGUACUGAGGGACGCUCGGUGUGAUGCCUGUGUGCUCGAUGCCCCUCUGUGUGUGUGUGACAGACACUGUACUGAGGGACGCUCGGUGUGAUGCCUGUGUGCUCUAUACCCCUCUGUGUGUGUGUGUGACACUGUUCCGAGGGACGCUCUGUGUGCUCGACACCCCUCUGUGUGUGUGUGACAGACACUGUUCCGAGGGAUGCUCUGUGUGAUGCCUGUGUGCUCUAUACCCCUCUGUGUGUGUGUGACAGACACUGUUCCGAGGGAUGCUCUGUGUGAUGCCUGUGUGCUCUAUACCCCUCUGUGUGUGUGUGACAGACACUGUUCCGAGGGAUGCUCUGUGUGAUGCCUGUGUGCUCUAUACCCCUCUGUGUGUGUGUGACAGACACUGUUCCGAGGGACGCUCUGUGUGCUCGACACCCCUGUGUCUGUGUGUGACAGACACUGUUCUGAGGGACGCUCGGUGUGAUGCCUGUGUGCUCUACACCCCUCUGUGUGUGUGUGACAGACACUGUUCCGAGGGAUGCUCUGUGUCCUUGAUGCCCCUCUGUGUGUGUGUCUGUGUGUGAGGGACACCGCGCGUGGGGGGACAGACGCUGUGUCACCCCGUGGGUGCAUUAGUGAUGCCCACGUGUAGGUCGGUGAGAGGCAGCCCUGUAUAUGAGAGUCACCAGGUUUGUGACAACGGGACACCCGUGUGUGUCCGUGAAAGGCACCAGGUCUGUGCCUAUUGCAAAUGUUCUGCCAUUUUAUGAUGAAGAAGUCCUAUCUCCCAAUUGUGCUGAAAAGACCUGGAUUCUUAGAGUUGAUCAUAUUUGGUCUGUGAGGCACCGAAAGGACUUUCAAAACACGCUGGUUUUGAGUAAGUGACAAUUUCUGGCCUUUCUUUAUGAGGACACUCCGGUGAAAGAGUGUGAGGAAUGCAGCUGUGGCUGUAUUCUGGGUGUUAGGGCAGUGAUCUCUGUGACACUGCCUGCACAGGAAUGGUCCCUCUCUCCAGCCCUCCAACUCACCUGGCUUUCAAUAUCUCGACUUUUGGCUCGCAGCUUGUUAACCUGACCUUCGGCAAUAUCAGCUCGUUCUUUCGCCUCUUCCAGCUCGUGCUGGACCUUGCGGCACCGCGAGAGAUUGAUGUUUGCCUGUUCCUCCUGGAAGUCAGACAGCAUCGCCAGAAAUGAGAUUGCCCUGUUGCCACUGACACCUGUGGCUGUGCCACGGUAACAUCACCCGUGUUGGCCUCACAGACUGUAGGAAGUGAAAAUCAAGUCAGCCUUGGAAGAUGAACAGAGGUGAUCCAUGUAGGAGGGCAGAGGAUUUGCAGUACCUGCUGUCUCUUCAGCUCUUCAGUCUGCUGAGUGAAAGUAUGUUUGCCUCGAGUUAACUGAGAAAUCAAGGACUCCUUCUCCUCCAGUUGCCGAACUCUGCACUCUUCAGCAAGGGCUUGAUCUUGAAGAACAGCUUCAUCCAUGGCCAGUGUUUGACAUUCAUGAAUGCACGGACAUUGUACUGGAUGCAGAAGAUGGACUCCCUGAAAAGUAAUAACAAAACAUAUUUUGCUGUAGAAAGAAACCGGAUGACUAACUUGGACAAUUGACUUUGUAUACCUAAAGGUUCCGCUGAGUUGUGUUCCUCCAGAGAAGUCCUCUGGCUAACACCCACUGCUAUUCUGCAUUACUGGCACUGGGGAAAUGCACAGGCUGAGUCAAUGAUUCUGACCCUGACAUGCUGCCUUUAACUUAGUUCCCAUAGUGCAUGACAGCCCCUGUCAGCUUGUAGAUGGCUGUUUUCUCAUCUGGAGUGAAGCCCAGGAUGUCAAUGGCGCUCUAACAAAUGAGUCAUUAAGUCUUCCCGGCACCGGAUUCUCCGCUGUCAGAGCCAAGAGAGAAGCAGAGGGUGCGUGGUCAGGCAGGAGGUCCCCUGGCACCGGGCAGCCCCGCAGGGACCCGCGCAGGGGCUGUACGUACGUGAUCAGGAUGGACUGGUUCUCCCGAUCUGUGAACGAGGCAGAAACAAAUAGACAUUGUAAAUGAAGAACACAAAAGUACUGAAAAUGAAUGUAAGUUAUGAGUUUUAUCAAGACAAACCAGAAGAGUUUUGAUAUGAUGCUUAUGAUGAGAGCCACUCACCAGUCAGCAUGAACUGAU